rnacentral:rRNA from 1 species
UACGAAGGGGGCUAGCGUUGCUCGGAAUCACUGGGCGUAAAGGGUGCGUAGGCGGGUCUUUAAGUCAGGGGUGAAAUCCUGGAGCUCAACUCCAGAACUGCCCUUUGAUACUGAGGAUCUUGAGUUCGGGAGAGGUGAGUGGAACUGCGAGUGUAGAGGUGAAAUUCGUAGAUAUUCGCAAGAACACCAGUGGCGAAGGCGGCUCACUGGCCCGAUACUGACGCUGAGGCACGAACGCGUG